rnacentral:lncRNA from 1 species
UUUUGAAACUCACCUAUUUUCCAUUACAUUUCAGACAGAUUCAGCACUGAGUUGCUGAAGCAGAAAUAUCAUUAUAGCAAAUAUUCUGCUCAAUACCACAGAUUUGCUUGUCAGUUGCUUGACCUUAACCACUUGAGCAUGUCCCUUAGUGGCUGACGAUAUGUGCAUCUCUGAUCAUGAAUAGGAGUAGUGGAGGAGUAUUAUAACCAUGUGUUGCAAGGGAUUCUUUUGGGGUUUGAAUAAAUGUAACAAAAGCAAAGUUUGAAGGAAAUAUUAACAGUUUUUCAUACUUUCUUGGGAUAAGCAAAUAGGAAAUAACAGUUGCUACCAAAGGACAAAAAUCACGUUACACAGUGUUAUCAGUGAUACUUAUGUAACUGGCCAUCGGUGAUUAAGCAGCUGAAACAAAUGUGUGAGAAGUUGACAUGAUGUUUAUAUUUUUCUACCUGGAUUAUUGAAACACCACAUUUAUAAGUUAAUAACGACAUGUAUUUUUUUAAGUAGAAACUUCAUUAUAUUUCAUUUGUAACUGCAUGCUGUGGAGAUGUUUGUCUCUGAUGUUACCAUUUUGCAUUAUAAGUUUUACUUUUAUUUUGAUUCUACGGUCAUUAAUUACUUUUGUUAUCAUAUCAUUACUUUUUAAAAACAAUUAAAAUUCUUUUGAAUGUAAUUCAUAAUUACAUGUUUGCUCAGGGAAAUGGAACUCCAUAUUAAACUUUUAAUUUACUGUUGACAACCACAUCUGAAGGUGUCGGUUCCAGAUAGUGAGCCGAGUAUUUUUUUUAUAACACAAUAAAAGCUUGAAAUAAACUUCAUAUAAAUUUU